rnacentral:lncRNA from 1 species
GCCGGAACGGCCGGAACGGCCGUUCCGGAACGGGAACGGUGCCCGCCGUUCCGGAAUCCCUAACAAAACCGUUCCGUCCCCUUUGACGCGGCGGACCACCGUUGCGGCCGAGAUUUAGCCGGGAAAUGGCACCGGAACGGCCCAGGAACGGCCCAGGAACGGCCGGAACGAUCUGACCUUGACGGAAAAAAAAUUAAAAAAAAAAAGAAAAAAGAAAAUUGGGAACGAGCCAUUGACGGAAAAUGAGAUGUAUAAAACCGAAAAGUAAUUUUUUGGUGUUAAGAGCUAUUUUUUUGGGAUAAUGAGAUCCCACUAAUCCCUCUAAUUCCCUAUUAAUAGGGGAAACUAACAA